CCUACGGGUGGCUGCAGUGGGGAAUAUUGGACAAUGGGCGAAAGCCUGAUCCAGCCAUGCCGCGUGUGUGAAGAAGGCCUUCGGGUUGUAAAGCACUUUCAGUGGGGAAGAAAGCCUUGGGGCUAAUACCCUCGAGGAAGGACAUCACCCACAGAAGAAGCACCGGCUAACUCCGUGCCAGCAGCCGCGGUAAUACGGAGGGUGCGAGCGUUAAUCGGAAUUACUGGGCGUAAAGCGCGCGUAGGCGGUCUGAUAAGCCGGUUGUGAAAGCCCCGGGCUCAACCUGGGAACGGCAUCCGGAACGGUCAGGCUAGAGUGCAGGAGAGGAAGGUAGAAUUCCCGGUGUAGCGGUGAAAUGCGUAGAGAUCGGGAGGAAUACCAGUGGCGAAGGCGGCCUUCUGGACUGACACUGACGCUGAGGUGCGAAAGCGUGGGUAGCAAACAGGAUUAGAUACCCGAGUAGUC
rnacentral:rRNA from 1 species